GAGUUGUGUUUCGUUCGAUUUCUGAGAAUCGUCGUAAGUUUCAAGUGAUUCGAUAGUAGACGGCACAGGCCGUGGCGAAAUUGAAGUGCAGAACCGUGCAUUGUUACGAAUACAAAAAACUGAAGCGAUGAAAAUGUUCAUUUCGGAAAAAAAGAGAUCGACAUUCGUACUCGUUUAGGAUUUUCCGCGUGUUGUGUUCUAACACGUGUUUAUUAUCAACGAUCCUGGACGUUUUGCUAAAUGUUGCAUCAACAUUUGCACAAUCGUAACGUAAUUAUUUAAUCUGAUUUUCUGUACUACGUUGUUGGAUCCGCCCUAAGAAAUGUGUUUGAAAAUAUUAGUUAGGACAAUUGAAGGAGGACAAAAUUGGUACUUAUCUCAUUUCUGUAUCAUGCAAGCACCAGUGCCUUUGGCAGAUCUUGUCACAAAUAUUUCGGUAAAUAUUUAGAAUAGGGAAGACAGCUCUGAUGACCUUGAACUUGACAUAUAUUGUCAAGGACACCCUCCUCAGUGACCUGCAGGACGUUUUAGC